AGGGGCAUAGGUCAGUGGUAGAGCACAUGCUUAGCAUGCUUAAGGUCCUGGGUUCAAUCCCCAGUCCCUCCA
rnacentral:tRNA from 1 species